UACGUAGGGACCAAGCGUUGUUCGGAUUUACUGGGCGUAAAGCGCGUGUAGGCUGCUUCGCAAGUCGGAUGUGAAAGCCCUGGGCUCAACCCAGGAAGUGCAUUCGAAACUGCAGAGCUGGAGUCCUGGAGAGGAAGGCGGAAUUCUCGGUGUAGAGGUGAAAUUCGUAGAUAUCGAGAGGAACACCGGUGGCGAAGGCGGCCUUCUGGACAGUAACUGACGCUGAGACGCGAAAGCGUGGGGAGCAAACAGG
rnacentral:rRNA from 1 species